rnacentral:rRNA from 1 species
UACGUAGGGUGCGAGCGUUAAUUGGAAUUACUGGGCGUAAAGUGUGCGCAGGCGGCCAUGCAAGUCGAGUGUGAAAGCCCCGGGCUUAACUUGGGAAUUGCGCUCGGAACUACGUGGCUGGAGUGUGGCAGAGGAAGGUGGAAUUCCACGUGUAGCGGUGAAAUGCGUAGAGAUGUGGAGGAACACCAAUGGCGAAGGCAGCCUUCUGGGCCAACACUGACGCUCAUGCACGAAAGCGUGGGGAGCAAACAGG